GGGCUUUGGAGCAUGCACAUAGUUGGUACUCAUAGAGUAUCACUAACAAUUUUUUACUAUUAAUUUUAAAGUUUGUUUAUUGUUUGAGAUUUUUUAUGAUACUGAUAUAAAUCUGUUUUCAAUGGUGAGAUCGGUGUUGGUAUCAUUAAAAAAAAAUUAGUUGCAAAAUCGAAAAUAAAUAUAGAAAAACAUAAGAUAAGCGCCUCCGGCAUAGAUCUAAAGGAGUAGGAGAGAAUUUGCGAUUAGGGUUCCAAGAAGUCUUAAUUUGGAGGAUGAUUCUCGCUUCCAUUGAAGAAGAAUCGGGUCAAGAGGCAGUGA